CYGACCCCCGGCACCGCUCGCGAAACCUCGGUAAGGUGAUCGACACCAUGACCUGCGGGUUUGCCGACCUCAUGGGGUAC
rfam:Hepatitis C virus genotype 7, complete genome